rnacentral:rRNA from 1 species
AUACGUAGGGGCCAAGCGUUGUCCGGAUUUAUUGGGCGUAAAGAGCUCGUAGGCGGUUGGGUAAGUCGGGUGUGAAAACUCCAGGCUCAACUUGGAGAGGCCACCCGAUACUGCUCUGACUUGAGUUCGGUAGGGGAGUGGGGAAUUCCUGGUGUAGCGGUGAAAUGCGCAGAUAUCAGGAGGAACACCGGUGGCGAAGGCGCCACUCUGGGCCGAAACUGACGCUGAGGAGCGAAAGCGUGGGUAGCAAACA